GAUGAACGCUGGCGGCGUGCUUAACACAUGCAAGUCGAACGGAAAGGCCUCUGCUUGCAGGGGUACUCGAGUGGCGAACGGGUGAGUAACACGUGGGUGAUCUGCCCUGCACUUCGGGAUAAGCCUGGGAAACUGGGUCUAAUACCGGAUAGGACAAUGGUUUGGAUGCUGUUGUGGAAAGUUUUUCGGUGUGGGAUGAGCUCGCGGCCUAUCAGCUUGUUGGUGGGGUAAUGGCCUACCAAGGCGUCGACGGGUAGCCGGCCUGAGAGGGUGUACGGCCACAUUGGGACUGAGAUACGGCCCAGACUCCUACGGGAGGCAGCAGCGGGGAAUAUUGCACAAUGGGCGCAAGCCUGAUGCAGCGACGCCGCGUGGGGGAUGACGGCCUUCGGGUUGUAAACUCCUUUCGCUAGGGACGAAGCGUUUUUGUGACGGUACCUGGAGAAGAAGCACCGGCUAACUACGUG
rnacentral:rRNA from 1 species